rnacentral:antisense_RNA from 1 species
CUACGAUGGUGGUCGUAGUGUAUGUCAACUCGUCAAGGUAGAACGUUUCAGACUUUAGCGAGGAAUGAAACGAUUCGAUAGAGGCAUU